UACGGAGGGGGCAAGCGUUGUUCGGAAUUACUGGGCGUAAAGGGCGCGCAGGCGGCUGCUCAAGUCAGGCGUGAAAGGCCUGGGCUCAACCCGGGAAUUGCGCUUGAGACUGGGCUGGCUUGAGUGCGGGAGAGGAUGGUGGAAUUCCCAGUGUAGAGGUGAAAUUCGUAGAUAUUGGGAAGAACACCCGUAGCGAAGGCGGCACUCUGGGCCGGUACUGACGCUGAGGAGCGAAAGCGUGGGGAGCAAACAGG
rnacentral:rRNA from 1 species